rnacentral:rRNA from 1 species
CAUCACUACGCUAGAUGCAUAUCAAUAAGCGGAGGAAAAGAAACUAACAAGGAUUCCCCUAGUAACGGCGAGUGAAGCGGGAAGAGCUCAAAUUUGAAAUCUUAAAAGGUUUUCCUUUUACGAAUUGUAGUUUAAAGAAGUGCUUUCUGUUGAAGUUUCGGUACAAGUUCUUUGGAAUAGGACAUCAUAGAGGGUGAGAAUCCCGUAUUUGACCUUAAUUUUUCAACUUUGUGAUACACUUUCAAAGAGUCGGAUUGUUUGGGAAUGCAGUCCAAAAUGGGUGGUAAAUUUCAUCUAAGGCUAAAUAUUGGCGAGAGACCGAUAGCGAACAAGUACCGUGAGGGAAAGAUGAAAAGAACUUUGAAAAGAGAGUUAAAUAGUACGUGAAAUUGUCAAAAGGGAAGCGUUUGGCACCAGUGUUGUUUUUCUAAAAAUCAAUUUAAAAUUUGCUUAUGUUAAGUGUUUUAGACUUAAUCGGCUAUACAUUUAAUUCUUUGUAAAUUUUGAAUGCACUUUUUAGUUAACAAGUCAACAUCAAUUUCUUUUGCUGUAAAAAAGCUUAAGAGGAAGGUGGCUUGAGAUUCGUCUUAAGUGUUUAUAGCCUCUUGCCUAUGCAGUCGGAGAGAUUGAGGUCUGCAGCAUAGAUCCUUCGGGGCUAGAUGCAUUUGUGCUAGAAGUUAUAGCUAUUAUAUAGACAACUUGUUGACUAUGUAAUUAGUCUUAGUCUUACUCGCUUAAGGUUAUUUUACCUACGCUUAGGAUGUUGAUCUACAGAGCGAGAGU